rnacentral:rRNA from 1 species
GUAGGGAAUAUUGGGCAAUGGUCGGAAGACUGACCCAACCAUGCCGCGUGCAGGAAGACGGCCCUCUGGGUUGUAAACUGCUUUUAUCUGGGAAGAAAAAGGCCAUGCGUGGCAAAUUGCCGGUACCAGAUGAAUAAGCACCGGCUAACUCCGUGCCAGCAGCCGCGGUAAUACGGAGGGUGCGAGCGUUGUCCGGAUUUAUUGGGUUUAAAGGGUGCGUAGGCGGCUGAUUAAGUCAGCGGUGAAAGACUUCGGCUUAACCGGAGCAGUGCCGUUGAUACUGGUUGGCUUGAGUGUCGGAGGGGUACAUGGAAUUGAUGGUGUAGCGGUGAAAUGCAUAGAUACCAUCAGGAACACCGAUAGCGAAGGCAUUGUACUGGCCGACAACUGACGCUGAUGCACGAAAGUGUGGGGAUCGAACAGGAUUAGAUACCCUGGUAGUCC